AAUAUAUGCUAGGGGUGCCUUUAGGCUGAGAGCUAAAUAAUAAUAUUAAAUUAUUAUUUAUAACCCUUGUACCUGAACUGGGUAAUGCCAGCGUAGGAAAGCUUCUAUUGGUUAUU
rnacentral:ncRNA from 2 species